AGUGAUGUGUAUGUAUAUGUUUAGUGAUGUGUAUGUAUAUGGUGGAUCUACCGACGGUCUCAAGAAUGUUGACACUACCGAGGUUUUGAGAAUGGGUGCAGAUUCCUGGGAGAUAUCCAAGAAGAACACAAGGAACUGGCAUUCUACAGUUACGAGCGUCAAGGCUAAACUCCCUGGUCGUCUGCUAUCUUCUCAUUCUUAGCAGACGAUAACCUCUCAGUAGCAGAAGAAAAUUUUAAGAGCAAACCAAAAAGCAGAAAAUAAAUGCAGCACUCAGUAGUAUAUGAUAAUCAUACAUUUGAUAGCAGACAAUUUACAUUUAAUAACAGAAGAUGCACUUAGCGUUCUGUACCAGACGAUAAUUAUACAUUUGAAAGCAGA